GUAGGUGGCAAGCGUUGUCCGGAAUUAUUGGGCGUAAAGCGCGCGCAGGUGGUUCUUUAAGUCUGAUGUGAAAGCCCCCGGCUCAACCGGGGAGGGUCAUUGGAAACUGGGGAACUUGAGUGCAGGAGAGGAAAGUGGAAUUCCACGUGUAGCGGUGAAAUGCGUAGAUAUGUGGAGGAACACCAGUGGCGAAGGCGACUUUCUGGCCUGUAACUGACACUGAGGCGCGAAAGCGUGGGGAGCAAACAGGGAUUAGAUACCCUGGUAGUCCACGCCGUAAACGAUGAGUGCUAAGUGUUGGGGGGGUUUCCGCCCCCUCAGUGCUGCAGCUAACGCAUUAAGCACCCCCCGCCUGGGGAGUACGGUCGCAAGACUG
rnacentral:rRNA from 1 species